GACGAACGCUGGCGGCGUGCUUAACACAUGCAAGUCGAACGCGCCUGUCCUCUGGGUUUCUGGGGGGUGGGUGAGUGGCGAACGGGUGAGUAACACGUGAGUAACCUGCCCCCUUCUUCGGGAUAACGGUCUGAAAGGGCUGCUAAUACCGGGUAUUCACUGGUCUCCGCAUGGGGUCUGGUGGAAAGGUUUUUUUCUGGUGGGGGAUGGGCUCGCGGCCUAUCAGCUUGUUGGUGGGGUGAUGGCCCACCAAGGCUUUGACGGGUAGCCGGCCUGAGAGGGUGAACGGUCACAUUGGGACUGUGAUCCGGCCCAGACUCCUCCGGGAGGCAGCAGUGGGGAAUAUUGCACAAUGGGCGCAAGCCUGAUGCAGCGACGCCGCGUGAGGGAUGGAGGCCUUCGGGUUGUGAACCUCUUUCGCCCGUGGUCAAGCCGCGACGUGGGUCGUCGUGAGGGUAGUGGGUAAAGAAGCGCCGGCUAACUACGUG
rnacentral:rRNA from 1 species